GGAUAUCAGAGGCACGAGAGUCACUAGAUUGGAGUGUUCUAUACCAUGUCAGUGAGAGUGAUUAGAUUGAUUUCAACCAGUUUGGAUAAAUUAAAAUAGAUUUGAAAUUUUGAGGAAUCAAAUUCAAAUUAUUCGAAAGAAUUGGUUGAAAGUAAUCUUGCAAACAAUAUAUACAUAUUUUCGCUGAAAGACCGUAAGUUUGUGAAUUUUUUUUUUGUAGGGGUAAUAUAUUUCAUCUGAUAUUUAUAGAGUUAUGCUUUCAAAUUUUAUUUUUGAAAACGAAUCAGUUACAGAGACACAAUAAACUGAAUUAAAUUGCAUAUAAAUUACACAAACUCGCCAUUAGGCUAAUCAAUAUGAGAACAGUCGAAUGUUAUUGAUUUGUUUGGAAUAUUGGGACUUUUUUGCACGAUUAGUAUAAUUUAUUAAAACUAUUUGUUUAUACUUUUACACAUGUACUUAAACGUAAGACAGCGUUUAUAAGUUUUGGAGUGCUGGGAAUUUGGCUAAUUCCCCGUAAAGUAAGGCUGCAGGCAAGUACUAACUGGAAAAGUAAAUGUGACAUAGGUCGAUUAGGUCAAAUGACUGUUUAUGCUUUAUCAUUUAAUCGUCUGUUGUCCGUUACAAUCUCUGCAGAUAUUGUUUUAAACCUCCUGAGUUUAUUCUGAGCCCAAUCAAUUGGUGCUAAGUCUACAAAGCUUAACAGAUAAACUGCCUUGGAAACGUAGCCAUAGACGAAUACUGAAUAUAAUUUCUUUUUGCUUUUAGCACGCGAUUCAGACAUUUAUAUAAGAUUUAUCAACAACCCCAGCUGCUAGAAAGCGUAAAGCAGAUAUUUGGCAAAACAAGUUGCGUGCUUGACGAAAAUUGAAAGAGAAACGUAAAGGAUUGCAGAAAUAUUGGGACAUUUCGAACGGUUUUUUUGAUGCUUAUGGCAUACAAAUUUUUCUCUCAUAACGAGUCUGUAUAGGGAAAGGCCGUUUUAUCCUCAUAAUUUAUAUGUUUGUCCCGUCACUUUUUUAUCAACUAAUUUAAUAUAUAUACAGCAUAUAUAGCAUAUAUCCUAAGUGUAUUUAGAGUGAGUGAGAGGCCUUAUGUAACGUAACUAUUUCGCUAGAUCCAUAGAGCAUAUGUACAUUGCUAUUAGCGUAUAUAUAGAAAAUAUAUUUAUAAAUAUGCGUUUGUACUACUAAAGAUGGUAACGAAGCGUAAAAUUCGCACUUGCAAACUGUAACCAUCUACGGGCCUCUAUCGGGCGUCUAUUUACUGUGUCUUACGCUUCGCUAAUGUCCUUUUCUCCUCCUCAAGCUUUUAUUCAACAUGAGUUCUGUUUACUUAAUACCCGUGACGUCUAUUUGUAUUUGUUCUUUGUUAGUGUUUCUCUGUAAAAGCGACGCUAUACUAUUCACAUUUAAUCGCUUUAUAAUAACGACAAGAAUUAAUAAUAUAUCCAUUAGAUUCCCAUAAUAUGGACAAUUUCAUAAUUACCCACAGAAAAAUCUAUGACUCUGGCGAAUAAUUAAAAGUAUGUUAAAUUAUACUUAUACACGAAGAUGCUAGAAUAUUAAAAAGCGAAAGCAGAAUAAUUGUACUAAUGAAUUUACCAAUAAUCAGUGUAAUAUAUACACACAUCAAUAGAACUAUGAAUGACACUAGUAUGUUUGGCGAACGUCGCAAAUGUAGAGUGCAAACAUCGCCUUCACUAUCGCAUCAUUUAUUAGAUGAUUGGUAGGAUUGCUAUAGAACGGUACUCUUGAGAUUCUUGCGAUUCAGCCAAAUGAUUUGUUCUUUUUCUAAUUUUAAAUCUAUGUCAAGAGAAUUUACCUGUCUGAAAUAUGUUAGGCUUCUCUCAUAUUAGCCUACAAAUGAAGACGCCUAAUGUGUCUUGCCCUCUACUUUUAACGCGGAACAGUAAUUACGAGACACGAGUUGUCCUGACCAUCUGUAUACUAUUUCUUUUUUUUUGAUUGAUUUUUCUUGUCUUCGCUUUAGUCAUUUCUCAUCACUGCGUCCAUGCCCUAAAUUGUGUCUGAUCGAAUGUGUUUGUUUUAGUUGGGAAGCAUCCAUUACAUAAGCCAGAAAAGGAAAAAAUCAAUAGUCUAUACGUAAUCCUUUAAUGCUCAUGAGAUUAUUCUCCGUCACCGAAUUGAGUUAUCUCUUCAGGCUUUAUUAACUAUAAUAGCGACGGCUGUCUGGCAAUACGUUUUACAUAGAAUCUUGAAAGCAUAAUUCGGAACUUUCUCUUAUCAAACCUACGUACGUCACAUCAGUUUUCUUUUCAGUGCAAUGAAUGUAAUAUCAGCGACCUGGUCUUUUGAGAAAUGCAGCGUUACCGGGUGCAAGAAACUGGAACAUUUCAUUAUAGUUUAUAUAUUCUAAUCCACAUUACUACUUGCGUUUGUUAUGACGAAGACUAUAGGGAAAAACUUGAUGGAGGUAAUUUCCUGGCAACCAAGAGCCUUGUGUCCUUGUAUAAAGUAAUAGGAAUAUUAAAAAGGGAAGGCGAAUGAAAAGAGCAAGAUCGCUGAAAUCAAUAUCUCUAUAUUUUCUAUUCGAUAUACUAUAUAUUUUGCAUUUCCUUGCCAAAAAUUCGAGGUCAAAGCGUGAUAUCGUAUAGCAGAUAAAUAUACACUUGACGGAAUAAAUAGUGCUAAUAAUAAAUUAAUAGUUACUAUGAUGUUCGCAGCUCCUCCAGUGAUAGGAAAUAAUUCGCCAUCAUUCUUGCUUGGAAAAGAAGGACAAAACAUCGAGUUGUGGUGCUCAGCUACAGGCAGUCCUGAACCACAGCUAACUUGGUUAAAAGAUGGAAAUGAAGUGCUCAGCUCUGAAGACAUAAUUGUAGAUGGAAAUAAGAUUCGAUUAAAUAACUUGAAAAGAGAGGAUGGAGGGGCUUACCAAUGCGUCUUUAAGAAUGUUGUAGGUCAAGCUUCGCAUACCAUUAAGUUGAUUAUAAAAGGAUACGUAUACAUCAUGGAAAAACCUCGAAACAUAACCGUUCAGGACGGAAAUGAAGCGAAAUUUAUUUGUCAUGCUGAUAAUGAAUUUCAUAAUUCCACAUUCAAGUGGUAUAAAGAUAACGUUGACGUUCAAUUAGUACCUGGCUUGGGAACUUUACGUUCAUCGAUUUUAUCGGAUGGUACAUUGAUUAUCAGAAAUGUCAUAAAAAGCGAUAGCGCAUGGUUUGAAUGCGAAGCAAAAAAUGAAAUUUCUACUUCGGCUAAAGCAAAGGCGUUUUUAAAUGUAACUUACUUGCCAGUCGUUUUAACUUCCGACAUGACAGUUCUGCUACCCCGUAACAUGCCAGGACUACUCAGUUGUCCAUUUGACGCAAAUCCACCUGUCACAUCUGUAGUAUGGACUAAAAACGAGCAAGAAAUAAAGUUUUUAGACUACACAAGAGUUUACAAGAGGAAUCUUUCCGAUUUAGCUUUCAGAACGGUCAGGGAAAGUGACGAAGGUGCAUACUCUUGUACACCUUACUCAGCACUAGGUGCAAGUAAAUAUUCUCCACGUUUUCAAGUUCAUAUCCGAGAUCCUCCCUAUUUUAAAGAGAGGCCUAAAAGAUACUACCAGAAACAAGUUGGAGAUACAAUUUCUAUUCCCUGUGAAGCUACAGGGGAUCCAACUCCCACGAUAAAGUGGCAAAAGCAAAAUGGUCAACUAGAUCCAGAGAAAAAAUUGAUUGAAGACAGCCGAUUAGUAAUAACGUACUUAAGUAUGGAUGAUAGUGGUUAUUAUGAGUGUGAAGCGAGUAAUGAGGUGGCAACUAUAGUCACAACCACAUUACUUAUUGUCGAAGUGAGCUCUCCGCAUAGAGCUCGCAACAUCUCAAUAAAAACUACCGAAAAUACUGCAAAUGUCAAAUGGUUGCCAGCUUUUGACAGUGAUUAUGCAAAGCGUCAAGAUUAUUUUAUUUGGUAUAGAGAAAUAGAAAAGAAUACGAAACAAAACUGGACAACUAUUGCUGUACCGGAUGAUUAUACUAGUCUUCUAGUUGAAAAUUUAAAAUCUGAUACUCGCUAUGAAUUUGUAAUAUUAUCUCGUAAUAGCUUAGGAAAUGGUUUAUUUAGUGAAAGACACUUAGUAAAAACUAAAGGUAGUAAACGUCAUAUUACAAAAACUGAAGUAUAUCCAUCAGCAGCUAUUGCUAUUCCUCCUCCGGGUCCAAGGCCCGAUUCGCCAAGAAACUUAACCAUUAAAAAUUUAGGAGACACUCUAGAAAUCCGUUGGCUUCCUCCAAGAAAUUUAACAGUUCCCGUCCAAUAUUACAUUGUUUACUUUCGAACUGUGGGUAAAUUCGAUGAUCUAUCAGGUCCAAUAAAUAAUGGGACAUCCUUUGAAUGGAAGGGUUUUUCCCGCGGUGCUAAGUAUCGUUUUAAAGUAUUCAGGCGAGUUUUACAUUCGAUAUCUUUAAAUUUUAAACAAUAAAACUAAUGGAGAGAAAUGUCAUCUUCAUAGCUAUAACAAUGGCGCCCAAUCGAAACCUAGCGAGGAAAUGGUUUAUCAUACUGGAGGUAAUCCUUAGCAGUAAAAUAUCGAGAUGAUAAAUAUGUGUUUUUUAACAUUUUUAUAAUAGAUCCAAUGAAAAAAGGCAUAAAACUAUCCAAGGCUGCAAUAGGUGGCAUAGUGGGCGGUUUACUUUUCUUCAUCUUCACUGUCAUAAUGUCCGUGUGUGGCGUUAAAAUCUUCAGUAGGAAUCACGAUAAAAGAGAGUCUGUUGUAAAAUACGGUAAGCCUGUUCAAAAUACUUUCUAUUUAUUUAUUAUUUUUAUUCUAAAUUAUUACUGCUAUUUAUACAUACGUUAUGUAUUCCUAAGGCAAUGUCAAAUAUUUUGGGCCAAGCAACCCCAACAAUGUGGAAAACAGAAAGUACGUAUCAAUUUUUGUUUGAUAUGUAUAAAUGAUUAAAUUGGAUAGGAUAUAUCGAAACAGCAACAAAUUUACUGAGUUGUGAUUUCAUUUAUUUUACAAUGCACCAGUGGAAGUAAAUCAGGUUCGUAAAUUGCAUGCCGCCUGAAUUAUAAUAGCUAAACAGUCUGAUACUCUGAAAACCUCAAAAAAAUCUUUUUCUAUUUAAUAUUUUCUUUAUCAGUAAUUUCUUGUGUCCUGAGUUUAUAGAUGUUGCAUUUUUAAAAUGAUAUGUAACAGGCAUACCUGUAACUGGUAAUCAAGAACCUGUUGAAGAAAAGAUGUUAGACCAAAGCCAGUUCAAUCAUGUUUUGUACAGCCACAAUAGAUUGCCUAUAAUACCGCCAAGUGAUCAAACAUCAGAAUGCGACCAUCUAACUUAUGAUCAUGUUAGCAGUUUCAGCGGCUACAUAACUCCCUUGACUCCUAUUGAUCGAUCCAGAGAUAGCCUUAAAGGGAGUGUGAAAGAAACUCCGAUCUAGUUUUAAUUCUCUACUGUGAAGAAAAUAAUUAUCUGCAGUAUUCUUUCUCGCUCAGAAAUAAGUGUUGCCGAAUUUCGAAGGACACACCUUUUGCUAAUUUGUUCUGAUUUAUUGGCAGUAAUAUAAUUUAUCAGAAGAUAAUUAAUUUAAUUUUGUAGCUGUCAUGAGUCGAGAUAUACGAUAUAUGAAUGCGUUAAUGUAUAAGCUUGUAAUAAACAUACUUAAAUAGUUAUGUUUAUUGUACUAGUUGUUAUUUUUUGUACGUGUUCUUUCAAAAAUUUGCAAUAAAUGAUACAUGCAACAUUUUCUUCAACCAAACAUUGAUUAAUAAUUAAAUAAACUAAAUUAUCAUUUAUUUCAAUGCAGCCAAAAGUGCUUCAGAUUCGCUGUCACAAUCAAAGAUUUUUAUUUUCAGUAGUUGGCAUAGCAGAGGGUAAAUAUCCACCAUCGAUGCCUUUGUUGUUUUUCCAUUUUCUAUAAUAUCUGGUCCAAAAGCGUAAAAAAUUCCUUGCAUGUCCUUCUCUGCGUUAUCGAAUCCAUGAUUUCCGUUUAGUUUUUUCUCUGGGUUCUUUUUCAUAAAUAAAGUUAAACCAAAAUAAAAAUCAUAAAUUUCAUCGAACUUACAUAAAAGACAUAAGGUAAAUCAGUGUAGGCAAAUAUGUCGCCAACCCUUGGAUGUUGUCCAUAAUGAAAUCUUUCCGGAAUAUCUUCUCUUUUGUGAACGUUCAGGUGUUCGAUUUUUGAGAGUAUUUGAUAAAUCUAUAAAUAUAAUUAUUUCGAGUAAACGGUAAAAGUACUAGUUUACUUUGUUUUCUUGCAGUUUAUCUU
rnacentral:misc_RNA from 1 species